rnacentral:rRNA from 1 species
AACGAACGCUGGCGGCAGGCCUAACACAUGCAAGUCGAACGUGAAGCCACCUUCGGGUGGUGGAAAGUGGCAGACGGGUGAGUAACGCGUGGGAACGUGCCUUUCGGUUCGGGAUAACCCAGGGAAACUUGGGCUAAUACCGGAUACGCCCUCCGGGGGAAAGAUUCAUUGCCGAAAGAUCGGCCCGCGUCGGAUUAGCUGGUUGGUGGGGUAAAAGCCUACCAAGGCGACGAUCCGUAGCUGGUCUGAGAGGAUGACCAGCCACACUGGGACUGAGACACGGCCCAGACUCCUACGGGAGGCAGCAGUGGGGAAUAUUGGACAAUGGGCGAAAGCCUGAUCCAGCAAUGCCGCGUGAGUGAUGAAGGCCCUAGGGUUGUAAAGCUCUUUUACCCGGGAUGAUAAUGACAGUACCGGGAGAAUAAGCCCCGGCUAACUCCGUGCCAGCAGCCGCGGUAA